UUAAACAUAGAAUGAAGUGUUACAUAUUAUUAUAUCAAAGUUCUCUAGCUCAGUAAUUCCCAUUUCAAGAAUGAAUGCAUUAAGUGCCUUCAAUGCACUUGCCAAGAUUUUUUUGAAACUGUACUUUAAAAAUCUGAUUGAAUUAUUCAUUCAAAAAAUACGAUCAAGCUCAUUUUAAGACAGAAGAAUAUAUGAAUAUGUCUUUGCUUUGUUCAAUAAUGUGAUUCAAAAUCACUGUUCUCAGUUCACCAACAUCAUACUCAAUCUACAAACAAGAAAUGUUUCUUUCAAUGACACACACACAGAUAUAUUUAGAUGUGUAUAUGCAGAUGUGUGAGUGGGUGUAUAAUAUUGUAGGUUUAAAUCGAAGUUUAAGAGAAAUCAUUUGAAAAUUUAAAUUCCACAGGAAAUAAACAUUCCCAAGCAUAGGAAGAAUUUUUCAGUUAAUCUGCCAAGUAUAUAUGUAGGAGUCAGAGCUAAAACCCAAGUUAAAAAAGAUAGCCAGUAGAAAACAUUGACACUGCCAUGGAAUAGAAAGCAUGCUUUUUACUAUUAAGGUAGUAUGAUUUUUAAAAUAAGUUUAUCACGAAAGUAAGAGAAUAAAAGGUAGUUGUGUGUUCAUAAAA
rnacentral:lncRNA from 1 species